CAGCAGCCGCGGUAAUACGUAGGUGGCAAGCGUUGUCCGGAAUUAUUGGGCGUAAAGGGCUCGCAGGCGGUUUCUUAAGUCCGAUGUGAAAGCCCCCGGCUCAACCGGGGAGGGUCAUUGGAAACUGGGAAACUUGAGUGCAGAAGAGGAGAGUGGAAUUCCACGUGUAGCGGUGAAAUGCGUAGAGAUGUGGAGGAACACCAGUGGCGAAGGCGACUCUCUGGUCUGUAACUGACGCUGAGGAGCGAAAGCGUGGGGAGCGAACAGGAUUAGAUACCCCUGUAGUCCCUGUCUCUUAUAC
rnacentral:rRNA from 1 species